CAUUAAAUAUUAUUUAUUAUUAUAUUCUUCUUCUGGAUUUUUUUUCUUUAGUAAGCUUAUUGAUUACUUCUUGUUGAUAACAACGUGACAAUAUGGUUAACGGUUUUUUUUUGUACUUUUAAAUUUUUACUGGGGUGCGGUUAUUGUUUACAGGACAGGUCCGGGCGUAUACUCAGGACACUUGUGAUUGGCCCGCGCGCACCUGCAAUGCGUCAGCCGCCGGCCGACGUUGACGCCGCCGCCGCGUUGACUCUGCCGGUGGCUACCGGGUCAAAGCCAGAGAGCUGAACGAGCCGUAGCAUUUUUACUUAUAAACGCUAUCUUUAUAUAUAUUUUUUUUUUAUAAUAUUAUUUUCCUUUUUUAAUUCUAUGUACUCAUACGGCUAUCCAUCCACAUGCAUACAUCAUGUAUGUCUUGAUUCAUGAUAACGAACAUGUGUAUAAUGAUAUGGUGUGUAAGAAAUCUUUUUCUUAUCAUCAUUUUCACCAAUUAGGAUACAUUCAAUUGAUAACUAAACUAAUCUCGCAUAAAAGAAAAGAAGAAAUAAUAUGUUUUUUAUGAAUAUAAUUUUUUUUUAUAAAUAUUGAUCUUCAAAACCCUUGAGGUAAACUCAUGACAAAACGAAUGAGCGUGCGCGAACGUACGCGCAAUGCGACACGCUAUUGAAGUGAGAUCGAGAUAGAGUUGUAAUCUUGUUAA